UCUCCUAACGCAUUGGUAACCGUUUUCGUCCCUCUGGUAAAACAAAGUUGUCCCCGAGUAAAUCCAGAUCUUCGUCUUCGGCUCUUUGGCGGAAUAAAAUAAAGAUCAAGUUGUCUCCAAGUAAAUUCAGAUCUCUGGCUGGUAAAACCACAUCAUCUGGUGAUGGACAAUCAAGAGAAGUUGUCCCCGAGUAAAUCCAGAUCUCUGGCUGGUAAAACCACAUCAUCUGGCGAUGAACAAUCAAGAGAUCUCGACUUAUUCUUGGGGGACAUCAUUCACUCUAUUUCAUAAUUAUUGUCCAUGGUAAAUGUAAACUGCAUUUAAUGC
rnacentral:lncRNA from 1 species